ACGGGAGGCAGCAGUGAGGAAUAUUGGUCAAUGGGCGAGAGCUUGAACCAGCCAAGUCGCGUGCGGGACGAAGGCCCUACGGGUCGUAAACCGCUUUUAUACGGGAAUAAAGUGCGCCUCGUGAGGCGUUUUGCAGGUACCGUAGGAAUAAGGAUCGGCUAACUCCGUGCCAGCAGCCGCGGUAAUACGGAGGAUCCGAGCGUUAUCCGGAUUUAUUGGGUUUAAAGGGAGCGCAGGCGGCCUUUUAAGCGUGUUGUGAAAUGUAGGAGCUCAACUUCUGCACUGCAGCGCGAACUGGACGGCUUGAGUACGCGGGAAGUAGGCGGAAUUCGUCGUGUAGCGGUGAAAUGCUUAGAUAUGACGAAGAACUCCGAUUGCGAAGGCAGCCUACUGUAGCGUUACUGACGCUAAAGCUCGAAAGUGUGGGUAUCGAACAGGAUUAGAUACCCUGGUA
rnacentral:rRNA from 1 species